rnacentral:tRNA from 1 species
GCCUGGGUGGCUCAGUUGGUUGAGCGUCCGACUUUGGCUCAGGUCAUGAUCUUGUGGUUCGUGAGUUCAAGCCCCGCGUCAGGCU